UACCGCAUAAGCGCACGGGAACGCAUGUUUCUGUGUGAAAAACUCCGGUGGUGUAAGAUGGGCCCGCGUUGGAUUAGGUAGUUGGUGAGGUAACGGCUCACCAAGCCGACGAUCCAUAGCCGACCUGAGAGGGUGACCGGCCACAUUGGGACUGAGACACGGCCCAAACUCCUACGGGAGGCAGCAGUGGGGAAUAUUGCACAAUGGGCGCAAGCCUGAUGCAGCGACGCCGCGUGAGCGAAGAAGUAUUUCGGUAUGUAAAGCUCUAUCAGCAGGGAAGAAAAUGACGGUACCUGACUAAGAAGCUCCGGCUAAAUACGUGCCAGCAGCCGCGGUAAUACGUAUGGAGCAAGCGUUAUCCGGAAUUACUGGGUGUAAAGGGAGCGUAGACGGAUGUGCAAGUCUGAUGUGAAAGGCGGGGGCUCAACCCCUGGACUGCAUUGGAAACUGUAAAUCUUGAGUGCCGGAGAGGUAAGCGGAAUUCCUAGUGUAGCGGUGAAAUGCGUAGAUAUUAGGAGGAACACCAGUGGCGAAGGCGGCUUACUGGACGGUAACUGACGUUGAGGCUCGAAAGCGUGGGGAGCAAACAGGAUUAGAUACCCUGGUAGUCCACGCGGUAAACGAU
rnacentral:rRNA from 1 species